rnacentral:rRNA from 1 species
ACUUUAAUUGAAGAGUUUGAUCAUGGCUCAGAUUGAACGCUGGCGGCAGGCCUAACACAUGCAAGUCGAGCGGUAACAGAAAGAAAGCUUGCUUUCUUUGCUGACGAGCGGCGGACGGGUGAGUAAUGCUUGGGAAUAUACCCUGAUGUGGGGGAUAACUAUUGGAAACGAUAGCUAAUACCGCAUAAUCUCUU